rnacentral:rRNA from 1 species
UACAGAGGGGGCGAGCGUUGUUCGGAAUUACUGGGCGUAAAGGGCGCGUAGGCGGCCAACUAAGUCAGACGUGAAAUCCCUCGGCUCAACCGGGGAACUGCGUCUGAUACUGGAUGGCUUGAAUUCGGGAGAGGGAUGCGGAAUUCCAGGUGUAGCGGUGAAAUGCGCAGAUAUCAGGAGGAACACCGGUGGCGAAGGCGGAUCUCUGGGCCAUUACUGACGCUGAGGAGCGAAAGCGUGGGGAGCGAACAGG